GAUGAACGCUGGCGGCGUGCCUAAUACAUGCAAGUCGAGCGAACGGACGAGAAGCUUGCUUCUCUGAUGUUAGCGGCGGACGGGUGAGUAACACGUGGAUAACCUACCUAUAAGACUGGGAUAACUUCGGGAAACCGGAGCUAAUACCGGAUGAUAUUUUGAACCGCAUGGUUCAAAAGUGAAAGACGGUCUUGCUGUCACUUAUAGAUGGAUCCGCGCUGCAUUAGCUAGUUGGUAAGGUAACGGCUUACCAAGGCAACGAUGCAUAGCCGCCCUGAGAGGUUGUUCGCCCACCUGGAACCUGGACCACGGUCAGACUCCUACGGGAGGCAGCAGUAGGGAAUCUUCCGCAAUGGGCGAAGGCCUGACGGAGCAACGCCGCGUGAGUGAUGAAGGUCUUCGGAUCGUAAAACUCUGUUAUUAGGGAAGAACAUAUGUGUAAGUAACUGUGCACAUCUUGACGGUACCUAAUCAGAAAGCCACGGCUAACUACGUG
rnacentral:rRNA from 1 species